CAGGCUGUCAGGUUUUCCAGAUGGAAGCACUGGCUUGUAGAUGAGUGCAGCUGGACCGUGGAGCCAUGAGCUGAGGCAGCUGUUCCCAGAGUGAGGCUCCUGUGGACCAUCCUGUCACUCUAGCCUGCUCCAGACCUCUCCACCCUUGCUCAGUGCAGGGCAUCAGGCCAUGGCAGAUGGGCGACCUGAUGCCUCGUUCUGCCCCUUCCUUUUAUGUUUAGACACAGCCAGUGUCCAGCAUACAUGUUCCAAUAGAGGUCACAAGAUGGACAGAACAGAUUCUGUGGCAGUAAGGUACCAACGUGUAAACAGCACCUGCAGCCAUGCCAGGCAGGGGUUGAGUCACACACCCCUAAACAAGGAAUAAACUGUUCCGACUGCCACAGGGUUUCUUUUCCUCUAGCAGCUAAAUAAGCACUAUUAACAGUUAUAGCACACCACCAGACACUGAGUAACUGGCCCCCAAGCCCUGUUCCACCAGCCAUAACUAGAGCUCCAACUGGACGGGAGACCGAUUUCAGUAACUCUCUCGCGGGAAGAGAUCACUCGCCAUGGGCUGGCUCUGGCCGGUUUACAGAGGCUGUGCACUUGUGUGCCUUUGUGUCCUGAAAAGACCUUUUGAGGAUAGGGCCUAAUUGUAAUACAUUUAAAUGUUAUGUCUCCACCCCAUGGUGAACAUGGGUCCUAUGUUACAUGUAUGUUUGUUUGGUAUGCAUGCAUCAGGACCAUCCUCGUGAAUAUUCACAGCUCCUCCUGUAACCUGUCGAAGGUUUCUAUUCAGCCAGCCUGUGCAGCGUAAAGCUCCUGUCCCAACUCCCCCUCCUUCCAUGUGCCAGGCUCUGGCCUUGGCAGGAGGCACGCUUCCCAGCCUGCAGGAUGGCCACCUUGCGGGCUAUAAACUUUCAUAAGAAAUCAAGUCUCUGGUUGUGGCAGAAGCUCCUUGGUUUAAUUAGGUCUUAUACCAGGCCUCAGCGACACGAUGUACCCAUGUAACAACCUGCACAUGAAGCCCCUGAACCUAAAAUGAAGUGAAGAAAAAGAGUCUCCUCUUGUUUUCUGAAUGUAUAAAUGUUGUGAUUUUUUUUAAGUUAACAGAGUGAAUGAAAUGCUUCCUUUGUAGAGCAGCAUUUCAGGUCUACGUUAGCUUUCAUUACCCUGUUACUCCAUAACCCUCUGGUUAAUUUCCCUGAAUGUGUGUGUUUACUUGACAGUCAACCCACAGUGGCUGAAGCAGCAGGAAAACACACAGGUGUCUUACCCUUGACCUGGGUCAUACAGCGGCAGGUCUUUUAUCUCAUGUUUGAGAGGUAUCUCUGUGCUGGAGGUUUUCAAACGGGAAUUUGCAUGUGGCUUUUUAAACAUGUUUGCAAUUUCUCUGCUAUUCUCCUCUUUGAGAGGUGGGCGUCUAUGCCUCUUCUCAUGAGGCCAGGCACUAGUGCUCACUUGUCACUGCCAGGUGAUGUGGAGGGGAUGCUGAGAAACUUCCCAAGCUAUGUUUGAAAAGGCCACGAGUCUCUUUCUGGUUUACUCCAGUCACUCACCUGUGGCGCCCUUGGCCGCUCAGUCAAGGCUCUGAAUAUCCUGAGACUGCCCCACUGCUUGGAAGCCCCGGACACCAGAGAGUUUCCUGUAGGUCCUCCAGCCGAGCCCGAUGACCCCGGCAGGCCCGGGAGUGAUGUCCCCCUCUGGAUGAUCCCAACCCCUUGCUGUGGAUUCAGCCCCAGCCGUUGUUGUGUCUUUUGGGGACCUUGUCAGUUGCCUUCCAAGUGCUAAUUCUCAUGACGAGAUAAGAAUGGCUAUGACUGGGUGUUGAUUGAUGAGUCGAACACAUUGAAUCCUGGAGUUUGAGGUUAUCAGAACUCCCCACUUAGAAAAUCAUCCUUUAUAUUUUAGAAAAUCAUCAUUGUAUGUUGAACAUACAAUGCUUCUUUUUUCUUCAUCUCCAGUGCACUGGUCUAGAGAGCGGCAGUUGGACCCCAGAGUGUGGCACGUGUUCCUGUGUUCAUUUGAACAUUCUCUGAUGACCUGUCGCUGAGGUCCUGUGAUGAUGCGUAUCCUGUCUUCCACCCCAACUGCCACUGUGUUUCAACUGUCGCUGGCUGUGUUUCAACUGCCGCUGUGUUGGAACUGCCAGCUAGACUGCUCACCAAAAUGGGAGGCAGCCUCUGCUGCUGUGGUGAAGGUGAAGGCUUCUUCUACCGCCAGAAUUGGCGGUUUCUCUCGCUGGAUUCUUGGGACCUGAUCCAGGCAGCACACUCGACACACUCAGCGAUUCAGCUCUACAGUAUGCACUCUGGGAUCUCCCAUUUGCUAAGGAAGGAUCUUAGCUUUGAGAAAGGUGUCAAGCCUGUGGCAGCAGAGCUUCCUGGGGAGUCCUCAGAGCAAGUCAUUGCCAUUGUCGAAGUGUCUUCUAGGCUUUAUUUUGGGGCCAUUACCUCGAGCACUGUUUCUUGUCUGGUUUCCUAAUGUCAGCAACUGAAGAAAAGACCUGUAUACACAGGACACAGCAUGGUCUGACGCUCACAGUGUUUUCCUUUCUCUCUGCAGAGGGAUUCAGCACUUUGGGCAAGUGGUUGCACAGAGGAUCCCGUGGAAGAAUUCAUAUAUGAAUCAGAUGAGAAUGCCCCAGGACCAUCGUAGGUCAGGCCACCUGCUUUUGUCAAAGAAAAAAGAUAACCCCUAUUUGAAUUAAAAUAUGAGAAUCUGACCAUAUGUAUCAUAGGUGACUUACACAGUGUCCUUGGUAAGGAGAAUUUAGAGUGAGAGUCUGUUCCCCACUGAGGUUUGAUUUAAGAUGGCAGAAGAAAAUGACAUCAUCAGCCACUCAGCAGCUUGAUUCUCUCCUUGGGGCAAAAUCACUUAAUUGCCAAGCAACAUGGACUUACAGGAAACAUCCUCCAAUAAAAACUUAGGUUUUUAGCAUGAUUCGGUAUGUCCUGUUCUUAUUUUGGGUGCUUUUGGGUGGUCUCAUCGUGACAGUCAAUGUCCUGGGUCUUCAGUGUCUAUAAAGUCCCCCUGCAGCCCUCCUGCCCGCUGUCUUGGCAUUGCCUCCAUUCCUGGUCCCCAGGCUGCAGCGUUGAAUCCUGUUGAGCAACCCCACAGGGUUUAGGAAGGGAGCCCGGCUGAGGUCAGAAGAGUUGGCGCCACCCUGCAGGAAGGGUUCCCAGUGACGUCUGGGUCUGCUGUGGCCGCCCCCCUCCGCCCCGGGGCUUUUGCUGCACUGGGGUCUCUGGACAUGCGCACUUGUUGUCUUCCUCCCAGAUACCAACAAGCCCUCUCCCGGCACCUGCAGAAAAAGUGGGGAAAAUCCCCGAAGAGGCAGAAACAUUCAUCCGGAAGGGCCGCCAGCCAGUGGAUUUCCCGGGCCCCUCAGCCCUCUGGAGUGUACGAGUUUUGGAGAAACCUCUUCCUCUGUAUAUGCUUUUGACUUUCCUGGACUGAUGUAAAAAUACUCUUUUCUUUGACCUGUUUAUUUUUAAGACACGAUGUGAUUGUGUCAGCUUAUAUUUUAUUGCUGAAGUAAAUUUUCAAAUGUUUUAUUAGUUUUUUUUGGAUCUUUGUCCGCUCAUUUUGGAGUUUUUGUAAUUUUGAUAGGUGUUCUUUUAUGCUUUGUAUUGUUUUCUUAAUGACUUUUACCUUAGUUUUUAACAAACCCAUAGUACAGUGUUAUACCCAAGCGAGUCAGAGAAAACGCCACACUUUGAGACGAAUUAAGAGUCCAUUAUUGGCCGGGCGCGUGGCUCAAGCCUGUAAUCCCAGCACU
rnacentral:lncRNA from 1 species